rnacentral:rRNA from 1 species
GUGUCAGCAGCCGCGGUAAGACGUAGGUGGCGAACGUUAUCCGGAAUUAUUGGGCGUAAAGGGUGCGUAGAUGGUCUGAUAAGUUAUUGGUGGGAAAUCGAGGCUCAACCUCGUGGAAACUAGUAAUACUGUCAGACUUGAGUGCAGGAGAGGUUAACGGAACUCCCGGUGGAGCGGUAAAAUGCGUAGAUCUCGGGAAGAACAUCAAUAACGGCGAAGGCAGUUAACUAUUCUGCUACUGACAUUGAGGCACGAAAGCGUGGGGAGCAAAACGGAUUAGAAACCCGUGUAGUCC